UGGGGAAUUUUGGACAAUGGGGGCAACCCUGAUCCAGCCAUUCCGCGUGAGUGAAGAAGGCCUUCGGGUUGUAAAGCUCUUUCGGCAGGAACGAAACGGUGACGACUAAUACUUGUUACUAAUGACGGUACCUGAAGAAGAAGCACCGGCUAACUACGUGCCAGCAGCCGCGGUAAUACGUAGGGUGCGAGCGUUAAUCGGAAUUACUGGGCGUAAAGCGUGCGCAGGCGGUUUUGUAAGACAGCUGUGAAAUCCCCGGGCUUAACCUGGGAACUGCGGUUGUGACUGCAAGACUGGAGUAAGGCAGAGGGGGGUGGAAUUCCACGUGUAGCAGUGAAAUGCGUAGAGAUGUGGAGGAACACCGAUGGCGAAGGCAGCCCCCUGGGCUAUUACUGACGCUCAUGCACGAAAGCGUGGGGAGCAAACA
rnacentral:rRNA from 1 species